rnacentral:rRNA from 1 species
UACAGAGGUCCCGAGCGUUGUUCGGAAUUAUUGGGCGUAAAGCGCGUGUAGGCGGCUUUGCAAGUCGGGUGUGAAAGCCCUCGGCUCAACCGAGGAAGUGCGCCCGAAACUGCAGAGCUUGAGUACCGGAGAGGAUGGCGGAAUUCCCAAGUAGAGGUGAAAUUCGUUGAUAUGGGGAGGAACACCGGUGGCGAAGGCAGCCAUCUGGACGGAUACUGACGCUGAGACGCGAAAGCGUGGGUAGCAAACGAGGA